CUGCACAGUAUAGUACUGACUGUAUUACUAUCUGGGGAAAGAGAAGUGGGCAACUGGCUGCUGUUGGCUCCCAGGUAACUAUUCAUGAUGGGACAUUGUAUAUACUGUGUAUCUCAGUAUACAUAGUGAUAAAGACAUAUGGGAAUGAUUUCAGUAUUUAGUUUGUAGGGAGCAAUACAAGAGCAGAAUAUUUGAGGUUGCUGUCAUCUCCAAUCUUUACACACACAGUUAUCCACUUGUAUUGAGAGGGUUUAGACUGUCCUAAUUUAGAAACAUAGAAUGUGACGGCAGAUAAGAACCAUUCGGCCCAUCUAGUCUGCCUAAUUUUCUAAAUACUUUCAUUAGUCC